rnacentral:rRNA from 1 species
UACGGGGGGGGCAAGCGUUGUUCGGAAUUACUGGGCGUAAAGGGCGCGUAGGUGGCCUUCUAAGUCGAACGUGAAAUCCCUGGGCUCAACCCAGGAACUGCGUCCGAGACUGGGAGGCUUGAAUCCGGGAGAGGGAUGCGGAAUUCCAGGUGUAGCGGUGAAAUGCGUAGAUAUCUGGAGGAACACCGGUGGCGAAGGCGGCAUCCUGGACCGGUAUUGACACUGAGGCGCGAAAGCCAGGGGAGCAAACGGG